GACGGAACGCGUGGACGGGCAUGCCUAAUACAUGCAAGUCGAGCGGAGUUAUGAUGGAGCUUGCUCCUGAUUAACUUAGCGGCGGACGGGUGAGUAACACGUAGGCAACCUGCCCUCAAGACUGGGAUAACUACCGGAAACGGUAGCUAAUACCGGAUAAUUUCUUUCCUCUCCUGAAGAGAGAAUGAAAGGCGGAGCAAUCUGCUACUUGGGGAUGGGCCUGCGGCGCAUUAGCUAGUUGGUGGGGUAACGGCUCACCAAGGCGACGAUGCGUAGCCGACCUGAGAGGGUGAACGGCCACACUGGGACCGAGACACGGCCCAG
rnacentral:rRNA from 1 species